rnacentral:tRNA from 1 species
GUGAAUGUGGCUUAGUGGUAGAGUGCUUGCCUAGCAUGCAUGAAGCCCUGGGUUCAAUUCCUCAGUACCACA